GCAGAGUUCACUAUUUACUGUACAUGUUAAAAUAUAAAUACAAAUGUUUUUGGUAUUUUUGGAAACAGGAAGUCGCGUCUUAUUUUCAUCAGAGAGGGCUCACAGUCAAAUGAAUUAAUUCUUUACCAGAAAGGAUGUGGAGAAUACAGAAGUACAACCUUCUCCGCUCGUGUGGUUCUUUCAGUGGUCGUUUACACACUGUUUAAAAUGAGUCUGAAAUACUUUAUUAAUCCCAGGGGGAAAUACCUUCAACAUUUAUUAUAUUACUGAAUUUUACAUUCUAAUUUAUUUAUGAAAUACAUUUAAUAUGACACAGUUGAACAAAGUGCUGAACCAUAAUAAUGCAAAACAUUUAAAAACAUAGAUACAGACAGACGAGCGAGAGAUGAGCCUUGGGGAACACUGCAGUUCAGCAUUUUAGUAUAUUUUUAGUUAUUAAAACCAGUUUUCUGAUUUUUCAUCAUCCUUAAAUGUGAAUAUUUUCUAGUUUCUUUGCUCCAUGAAACCAAGAAAUCAUUAAAACUGAAUCAUUUUACAUCAUCAUUUCCAUUUUUGAUCAACAUUUUUCAACAAUUUAUGGACCAAACAUAAUAAUACCGAAAAUAAUUGACCUGCAGCCCUACAUUUCACAUCGUUUUUGUUUUUCGUUCUUCAAUUUUCAGCACAUGUAUGCAAACUGACAUUUGAAAUAUUAACGUUUUUCUACAUUCAUGUUUAUCAUGGGCACGAAAAAUCAUCAUAGUUUAAAUCUUUAUUGAAAAAAAGAAAUUGUAUAUCGUCUCAUCCGUAGUCUGGGGUUUUCAAAAGUAAUUUAAAAGAUGUAAACAAUUUAAAAUAUCAAUUUAUUGAUCUUGCACUGGCAGUGACAAAAUGCUGUAAAAUAAUAUUCAUUAAAUUAUUGACACAAAAAUUACUACAACAUGAUAUAAAACAAGCAAUAUUAUACUGUAUGUACAAAUGCAAAAAAAUGGAAGUGGGAUGUACAUCAACUGCUAUCAAGAAUAUUAAAAAAUCCACUUCACCCAUGUUAGAUUUUGUGAAUAAUAUUAUAGAGAUGCUUUUUGUCAUUUAAGCCCUGACUUCACACUAAUGUGUGAGUUAAUGCUGAUGUCAGUAAAUAACUUGGUCAGAAUUUCCCUCCAUGGGGAUCAAUAAAGUAUUUAUUUACAUAUCUAUCUCCAUCUGUCACAUCAAACUCCCACGCGGCGCAAAUAUGGCAAAAUCUUUCAAAACAACAAGGAAGGAAAUGUGGCUCAUUCAGCAGAAAACAUCAAGAUGCCACAGGUUUUGAAUUUUGUCAUGUCAGGAAACACACACACACACCCACACAUAGACACACACACACACACACACACACACACACACACACACAUAGACACGUAGUUCCUUGUUUGCAGCUUUAUAAAGCCAGACUCUACGACGUUCACUCUCGCUUCAUCACUUCAUCACUUCAUCACUUCAUCACUUACUGGUGCUGAAAGAUCACGAUGGUGAAAGCACUGGUGCUCGUGGCGCUGCUGACGUUCUGCUGCUGCAUGACCACGCUGCACGCUAUGCCUCGACACAGUUGUCGCUGCAUUCACACCAGGUCUCAGCGCAUCCCGACGUGGGCCAUCUUUAAAAUGGAGGUGAUUCGUGUGUCAGGACAGUGUCGUCGCACUGAGAUCAUAAUCACCACGAAGAGGAACCACACUGUGUGUGUGGAUCCAAACGCACCAUGGGUCAACGGGCUUCUCUCUGAGCUGCGGGAGUAAUGAUCUGCCUGCGUCAUAAACAGGACUCAUGAAGCCUCGCUCGCUCUGGCGCAGUUGUCAAACUAUGAAAUAAUCAUUCUACUUCAUAGUUCUUCAUUCUAUGAAUCUUUCUAUUGAUUUUUCUAUUGGAAAAUAAAUCUAAUGUAAAAUGUUACCAUGUUGUAUGUAUCACAGAUUCCACUCUGAAGAUGUUUUUUUAAAAACCUUAUUUCUGUAUUGUUUUACACAAUAUAACAAAUAAAAGAAGUCAAACAAGUUGUGUUUCUG